GAUGAACGCUGGCGGCGUGCCUAAUACAUGCAAGUCGAGCGAAGCGGGGACGGGUGAGUAACCCGUGGUUAACCUCCUAUACGACUGGGAUAAAUUCGGGAAACCGGAGCUAAACCGGCUACUCAUCGAUGGCUCCGCGCUGCAUUCGCUAGUUGGUAAGGUAACGGCUUACCAAGGCAACGAUGCAGAGCCGACCUGUGAGGGUGAUCGGCCACACGGGAGCUGACACGGUCCAGACGCCAACGGGAGGCAGCAGUAGGGAAUCUUGCGCAAUGGGCGAAAGCCUGACGGAGCAACGCCGCGGGAGUGAGGAAGGUCUUCGGAUCGUAAAACUCUGUUAUUAGGGAAGCGGUACCUAAUCAGAAAGCCACGGCUAACUACGUGCCAGCAGCCGCGGUAAUAC
rnacentral:rRNA from 1 species